UGGCACCGCCCCGCUCCUGACCCCGCCUCCAGCGCCGCGCGACUCCAGUUGCACCUGCGCUCACUGAGCCCGCACGGCCCCAGUGGUUCCGGCGCUUCUCAGCUGGUGGUGGGUCACCCCUGGCGCGUCCGGUUCUGUAUUUGGUAUGAUUUCACUUGUGCGCACCAUGCUGGCCUUCCUGCAUCUGAAAUUUCCCCCUUCCUCGACUCUGGAAAGAAGUCGUAUUUAACUUGCAUUUCUAGCAAUAAGAAGGAUAUGAAACCGCGGAAGCUCUCCGCGACAGCACACCAUUCCGACACCGAGAAAAAAAGCGCGCGAGACCCACCUACUCUGCACCUCUGCUCGCCGCCUGCGGGUCCGCUUCGGACUCGCACUCUGCAGUGCACGUGGACGAGUGUACCUUCAGCUUGCUCUGCAUUGCGCUCACCUGAGGAAACCCAGCUGGAUGAGCCCGACCAUUCUCCUCCGAGGCCUGAUGGGCUUCCGUUGGAAUCCUUGACACAUACGCAGAAAGAGCACUUCACACUCCUAAGCAGUCUCCAAGAGGGCAUGUCUCCCCGCUAUCAGAUAACUUCUCAGAUCCCUCUAGUUAAGCCUCCCAGAGGGAACCAAAACACCCAUCACCAAACCGCAGGCUCAUCACAUCCAUCCCCUGCCUUUCACUUUCUCUCCAGAAAGUAGGCCUUCGUAUUUCUUUUCUCCUAUCAAAUACAGUUGCUUCAGGGAACUGGAAUCCAUGCCUUUCUCCUGCAUUGUCAGUUUGCCCAUCUCCAUUGAAUAAUUUCCAAGAUCAUGCAAACACACUCUCUCUGUUCAUUAUAAAAGCAAAAGGCCUCUUUUACUCCAUCCCACCUCCCUAGGGACUCCACUAUUCCCUUAGUGACUGUGCCAGCACCUCAAUAUCAUCUUGUUUUAUUUCUUUUUCUCUCUUCCACCGAUUCCAUAAAAAUGUUCUUGCUGAGGUCACUUUU